GGAUAAUUGCUUGAACCCGGGAGGCGGAGGUUGCAGUGAGCCGAGAUUGCACCACUGCACUCCAGCCUGGGUGACAGAGCGAAACUCUGCCCCUCACCCCACAACCUAAAAAUGUUGGUAUUUUGUUGGGUGUCAGUGGCUCACUUGUCUUUGCCCUCUGCUCACUCAUCAUGGACGAUUUCAUAUAUUCACCCAUAUAGUUCCCACUCAGAUGCGGAUGCCUUCUAAAUCUUAGUUCAUUUCCUUUCCCAGAACUCCCAACUAGGCAUCUCCACUUGAAUGUCCCAUGGGUACUGCUAUGAUUUGAAUAUUUGUCCCCUUCAAAACUCAGUUGAAAUUUAAUCCCUAAUGUGGCAAUAUUGACAGAUGGGCCUUUAAGAGGUGAGUGGAGGCUGGAUGCAGUGGCUCACACCUGAAUCCCAGCACUUUGGGAGGCCAAGGUGGGCGGAUCACUUGAGGUCAGGAUUUCGAGACUAGCCUGGCCAAGAUGGUGAAACCCCGUCUCUACUAAAAAUACAAAAAUAAUCCGGGUGUGCUGGCACGUGCCUGUAAUCCCAGCUACUUGGGAGGCUGAGGCAGGAGAAUUGCUUGAACCAGGAAAGUGGAGGUUGCAGUGAGCCUAGAUCAUACCAUUGCACUCCAGCCCAGGCGAAGAAGCAAGACUCUGUCUCAGAAAAAAAAAAAAAAAAGGUGAAUGGAUAAAUCCGUUCAUGAAUUAAUGGGGUGAUGGAGUAAUGAGUUAUCAUGGGAGUGGAACUCAUGGCUAUAUAAAAAGAGGAAGAGAGAUCUGAGCUAGCAUGCUCAGCCCCCUCACCAUGUGAUCCUCUGUGCUACCUGAAGACUCUGCAGAGUCCCUAUCAGCAAGAAGACCCUCACCAGAUGCGGCUCCUCAACCUUCGACUUCUCAUUCCCCAUCACUGUAAGAAAUUAUUUUCCUUUAUGAAUUACCCAGUUUCAGGUAUUCUGUUACGAUACAAACAACGGAAAAUGGAUGAAGACAGGUAACCUUCUGCUCAUUAUAUCCAAAACUGAACACAUCCUCUUUCCACUCUGCACUCCACUCCCCCACCUCCCCAAAACAGAAGUCUUUUUCUGUAAUUUCCAUCUCACUUGCUGGUAUACCAACCACGAAGGCCUCCUUCUCCCUCAUCUCACACUCAGUUGAUCACCAGUUGCUGCUGAUUUCUUGACUGUCACCUCCAUCACAGCCCUGACUCACAUCCUCCUCAUCUCAUCUGGCCCAGUGGGACAGUUUCCCUGCCAUAUUCUUGUCCCCCCACCUGAAAUUUGUGCCCAAGAAGGUGGCUGGAUUAUCUUAAAACACAAAUCUGAUGACCUCUCUACUACUUACUGUUAACUGAUGGCUCUCCUCCUCUGAGACAUAAAUUCAACCUCCCUGAUACAGUCAAGAAGUCUUCUGAGGCAGGGCACAGUGGCUCACGCCUGUAAUCCCAGCACUUCGGGAGGCUGAGGUGGGCGGAUCACCUGAGGUCAGGAGUUUGAGACCUGGCCAACAUAAUGAAACCCUGUGUCUACCAAAAAUACAAACAUUAGCCAAGAGUGGCGGUGCACACCUGUAAUCCUAGCCACUGGAGAGGCUGAGGCCAGAGAAUCGCUUGAACCUGAGAGGAAGAAGUUGCAGUGAGCCGAGAUCAUGCCAUUGCACUCCAGGCUGGGUGACAGGAGCAAAACUCCCUCUUGGGGAAAAAAAAAAAAGGGGGAAGUCUCUGAGGCUGGGUGCAGUGGCUCAUGCCUGUAAUCCCAGCACUUUGGGAGGUCAAGGUGGGCGGAUCACCUGAGGUCAAGAAUUUAAGACCAGCCUGGCGCCACAACAUGGUGAAACCCCGUCUCUACUAAAAAUACAAAAACUAGC
rnacentral:lncRNA from 10 species